AUGAACGCUGGCGGCGUGCUUCACACAUGCAAGUCGAACGGAAAGGCCAGUGCUUGCACUGGUACUCGAGUGGCGAACGGGUGAGUAACACGUGGGUGAUCUGCCCUGCACUUCGGGAUAAGCCUGGGAAACUGGGUCUAAUACCGGAUAGGACAAUGGUUUGGAUGCCGUUGUGGAAAGUUUUUUCGGUGUGGGAUGAGCUCGCGGCCUAUCAGCUUGUUGGUGGGGUAAUGGCCUACCAAGGCGUCGACGGGUAGCCGGCCUGAGAGGGUGUACGGCCACAUUGGACCUGAGAUACGGCCCAGACUCCUACGGGAGGCAGCAGUGGGGAAUAUUGCACAAUGGGCGCAAGCCUGAUGCAGCGACGCCGCGUGGGGGAUGACGGCCUUCGGGUUGUAAACUCCUUUCGCUAGGGACGAAGCGUAUUUGUGACGGUACCUGGAGAAGAAGCACCGGCUAACUACGUG
rnacentral:rRNA from 1 species